UACGUAGGGAGCAAGCGUUGUCCGGAAUCAUUGGGCGUAAAGCGCGCGUAGGUGGCUUCGUAAGUCCGUUGUGAAAGUCAAAGGCUCAACCUUUGAAUGCCGAUGGAUACUGCGGAGCUAGAGUACGGAAGAGGCGAGUGGAAUUCCUGGUGUAGCGGUGGAAUGCGCAGAUAUCAGGAGGAACACCAAUAGCGAAGGCAGCUCGCUGGGACGUUACUGACACUAAGGCGCGAAAGCGUGGGGAG
rnacentral:rRNA from 2 species